rnacentral:tRNA from 1 species
UGCGGGAUGGCGCAGUCUGGUCAGCGCGGGGCACUCAUAAUGCUCAGGUCGCCAGUUCGAAUCUGGCUCCCGCUA